GCGAAGUGAGAAGUAAGACUACCAUCCCGUGUGUGCUGUACCGGGGUGGGGUCUUGCUUCUUUCUUAGCG
rfam:Branchiostoma floridae genomic scaffold BRAFLscaffold_93, whole genome shotgun sequence.